CUCAGCCCAACCAGGGGCUUAUAUAGGUGCUUGGAAUUCUAUAAUAAUGGUUGCUGUGAGGUCACAGCAAGAAACGGACCAAUCUUGGCUGGUGAUCAUCCACAGUGUUUUUUCUCAUUUUUUUGGUCUAAAAAAUCUAUUUGUCUUAAAAAAGAAUUGCUGAGAACUCCCAAUAGCUUUUUGUUCAUGUACAUUAUAUUUAUUGAUAUUAUUAGAAUUGGAAAACGAUUGUACACUUGAAUCGGGAUCCAAAACAGGUCCACAUAUUGUGAUUGGUUGGAAUUUCUUGGACCCUUUGAAGCCCAUCCCCUGAAUUCCUGGUUAAGAAUGUAGGCUCUGAAAAAUCAUCUGAGUUUGAAGACCCUGGCUUCACAAAAGGCAGUUCUGCAGAAUCCCAACACUGAGGCUUCCCUAACAAAUGCAAAUGAAUGUACAUCAUAAGACUGUUCUUCAGUUAGACCAGAGCCUUUGGUAAAUGCUGUGGCCUCAAACAUCUGGCAACCCACACAUGGUUCAUUCAUCUCAAAGCUGUGAUUGUUGAUGCAGGGAUGACGUUGGCUGCGGGAGCCCCCUUCCUCUCAGUCAUGGGCAGCCAGCAGGGGAUUUCACUGAACAGUUAAGAAGUACUUACUUGGUUCUGGGCACUGUUCUAAGCAUUUUACAAAUAUUAUCUUGUUUAAGCUUUUCAUGAACCCCUUUGAACUCAAGAAACCAUCACCUGUGCUUUCAUUCUGAAUCCAAAAUAGAGUGCUUUGUGCUGAACACUAUUUUCAGUGCUUCAGAUACACUGGGUUAUCUGUUUAAUCCUUACAAACAACCCCAUGAUGUAAGAUACUUUUAUUAUCAUCCCUGUCUUACAAGUAAGGAGAUUGAAGUAUGGGAAGAGGAAGAAAUUUGUCUAAAGUCACACGGUUCGUAAUUAGUAGUUCUGGGAUUUGAAUCCGAGCAGUCUGGCCUCAGAAAACACACUUAUCUACUAACUACCCUGGGAAGUCAUCUCCCUUCCCCUGUUGUUUAAAAAUAGGUAACUCUUUUUGCUCCUGAAGCUUUAAGAAAAUAAAUACAGUAGCUCUGCCUAAUGUGAACAUUGUUGGUCCUCAACUUAAACUCAUUGGCUAAAUUUUCUAGAAUAUUUAGCUGAGAUAAUUAGAAAAGGAGGAAGGUGUGAAGGGUGUAGACUGCUAUGAGCCAUUUAUUGGCUGUAUGACCUUGGCCAAGUUACUUUACUUCUUUGAAUCUCAGUUUAUUAAUCAGUAAAAUGGGGCAAUAAUAUGCUUACCUCAUGGAGUACAGUGAAGAGUGAAUGAAAAAACCUUGUAAAGACCUCAUAUAGUGCCUGAAAUGAGGAAAAACUCCAGUAAGUAGUAGAUAUUUUUAUUAUUACAGACAAACAUUUUGUCACCAUAGGGAUGGUGUUGUUAGGUAGCCUAUUAAACAUGCCCUAUGAACACUAUUCAAAAAAAAUCUUCAUUUUGUAAUUAAUCACUUGAUUGUGUUAUCUGAUGAAUGGCAGUCCCUUUCACCAAACUAUAAACUCCUCUAGGCUGUAAACUCUAUUAGUCUGUGAACUCCAUGUAUGUGUUUAUGUUGUCUGGUUUUGAUGCAUAGCCUUAUUGGAUACCUUGGCAUGCAGAAGGAAUAUCUGUGUCUAGUGACUUGAACAAGGGUCGGACAUUUUAGAAUAUGAAACACUUAAGGACAACUCUAGGUAUAGGAAUAUUAGUUUACAAAACACAGUCGAGGUUUAAUUCUUUGUUGGUUGGGACCAACAUCAUCUGAUGGGCAGUUUUCUGUUUGAAGUUUGGUUCAAGACUGACUCUUUGCAGGUUUGGGUUUAGGUGACUGUCCUCUGGAACACAUCUAUUUGCAUAUGAACUUUCUCUGUCUGGAGACCCUCUGCUAUAGCACCCAACCUAAAAAAUCCUCCCCAGAAUGGCCCAUCCUCUAUUUUACUAAAAAAUUAAUUGUACUUGGAGGGGAAAACAUUUAAAUGUUAACAGUGGUUCCCUGAGGGUAUAAAGUGCUUACAUGGAGCGUGACACAGUUUUUAUUAAAGAGGAAGAACCAAAAAAGAGAGAAGAAACCCGAAGAAAGAGUUAGAAUUUUACAUGAAACUGAACAGAUAUCCUUUCCCACUUUUGCCCUCAUAAAAAUGAAACUUUUUUAUGGUGACAUUUUUAGCCCACUCUGAAAUGUAUUGAUUUGUUUCCUGUGACUCAUUGUCUGUUUCUUCUUUCUAUGUUAAAAAAAACAUAUUAAAUAUCAUUGUGAUAAUAUAAAUAUAUAUGUGUGGGUGGAUGGAAGGGUGAAGGGAAUUUUCUUUUAAAUUCUAAGAAGGGAAAUAGCUUUCUCAUGUGUUCCCACAUCAUCAAUCAACUCAUCACAUCCUUAGUCUACUUCAUUUUCUCCCCCAAAAUAAUCACUUCUGAUCUCAAAGCUUGAGAAAAAAAAAGUUUCAGAAAGUUCUGGAGAUGGCCCAUUAGUUGGGGCGACUGUAGACUUUUUUGUACCUUUAAUUCCGGGUUGAAGGGACAUCCAGCCGCUAUUUCCAUUUUGGGCAGUAGAGGGCAGACGUCUCUACUCCUGCCUACCCAAGAUUACCCGGCAACAUUAUGUUUAUGCAAACAGCCUUUGACAUAAUAGCUUUGAAACAGCUGAAAAUUGAAUUGUGCCUUGAGGCCAAACAUCUAGACCACCACCUUUGUUAUAUUCAUCUGCCACAGUAAAUUGGGUUCACCAUUGGCUCCGGGAGCUGCUUUUUCCUAGAUUCUGGCCCCACAAUAACUUUGCGUAGGAGAAAGACAAAUGUGACUUCCUCACACAAAAUGUUGGCAGGGUUUCAUUUCACAAACUCUUAUCCGAGGGGCUGGAGAUUGCAGUGUGGAUUUCUCCAGCCAUCUGCAGACAAGAAAAUAAAAGGAAAACUGGAAACCUAAACCAAAUCCAUCUAAUUCUGGAAUCUCUCUGUGUGUUUCCAUAGCUUUUUAGUUUCUCCACUUAAUCUAAUUAGGACUUCGCCUCCCGAAAUAAAUACCUAAUAAAGAAUGAACCUAUUAAAAGACUAAAUUUACUACACACCCGUUUGUGCAAACCCGCUGCAUGUUUCCUUGAAGCGGUAAUGCCGAUGAAAUUGAACGUUGUUUGACUGGAUAAUGGUCUCCCGCUGUAAGACGGAUUAUAGAAAAUAAACGUCGAGGGGGGGAAAGCCAGUCGCUUUAUUGAAUUCCAUCGAUGAUAAUGCCAUCACCUGAAAUAGCUGCCUGAAAAGAGUAUAAAUGGGAGAGAAGCAGCAGCAUCCAGAGCCAAUUUGCAACUGGGGAACAGUUCAUUUUAUUGGAAGUAAUUUUAUUCUGUUUUGGGUUCACUGCCCUGGUUUGGGGGUUGACAUAAACUAGAUUUUUAAAGGAAAUAUGUUUGUGGGCACCAUGAGUGCUUUUCGCAGGAGGGCAUUUAGGCAUUGAUUAAUUGAUUCAUGUGUUUAUCAAUUAAUAUUUAAUGGGGACCUACUGUGUGCUGAGGACUGUUUAGAAGCUGAGGAUAGGAUAGUGAGCAAAAUAGGUGUCAUUACUCUCAGGGAACUUACCGUCUAGUGGAAGAGGUAGAAUCCAUUCAGUAGCAAAUAUUUAUUAAACACCUACUUAGGAUCUGGCUCAUGAUCACAAAAUAACUAUAGAUUUGCAACCCAGACAAAUAGUAUGAAGGCAAGGUAGUGAAAUUGGUAGCAUACCAUGCGUUUGAAGAAUAGUUUUAAAAGAAAUCAUGUAACAUCAAAAGGACUCCCGGAUCAGUAUGGAGAUGGCUUAUCUAAAGAGUUUAGUAGUAUGUUGUGAGUUUCCUUAAUGGAUAAUGGGUUCAAAUCCAGUCACCGUACUUUUCUGGGACUCAGUUCUUUGUUUUUCUUAAUAGAAGUUUACAGUAAUUCCUGUCCAAUUUGCCUAAUAAGAUGCAUGUUUUAGUAAAAUAAGGGAAUAUGCAAAAAAAGUGUUUUGUAGUUGACGAAAAUGGUAGGAAUUAUUAUUGUGGGCUGGUGCUUUUCUAGGGCCUACCUACAAGGAUCCUACAGAAUUCUUGGCUAGACAAGAGGAAUAUAGCUUGAUCAACAGUGAGCAAUUCAAACAGUUUAUGGGUAAUAAAGUAUGUGGCACAGAUGAAAAAAAAUAUGUUGCAUGAAGUCAGGGAGAGGUUAGGCCUUGAAGAGUAGAUGGGGUUUAGAAAGAGGAGAACAGGACCCCAGAGUAGUCUUCAUUUUGGGCUUAUGAGAUGCUGAUGUACACACUAGCAGUUGGAAAACCCUGGUGGUGGUGGAGGGUUGUUUUACUGGAUACAACUCAAGUUCAGGGUUCUUUAUGGACCAAUGUAUUAGGUUGACAUCUGACAUUAUGUUGGAUGGUACUUCAGUGACCUUUUGUAAGGCUCUCCUUUGCUCAUUGGUGCCUACCCUUCCCUUGCUCCUCAUGUGUCACCUGGAUACUCCAUAUUCUCUAUCACUCCUCUUCCAAGCCUUCUCUGCACCUUGAGGACCCUGCUCUCCAAAGUUGUGGCACUUGUUACAUAAUCAAUGCCGAGACACUGAUGGGAGAUCAUAAGGGCAUUCACAUUUUAUCCCACUUUCCUGAAAAGACAGUGCUUAAAACCAGGGCUUCUUAAAUUUUUGUGAUGUUUAAAUUUUGGACCCCUCUUCCAAAAAAGAAAAAAACUUCUCUCAACUCUAGAGAAGACAACCCUAUUUGGAAAACACUGACUUAAACUUUCAAUUGUAAACUAUCAUUGCUAAAGAGAAAUUUUGGUCUUAUAGUUGCUAAUUUUUCUCUUUUGAAAUUAUCAUUGAAAUGAAAACACAUAGUUGAAAAAUGUUUUUGAAACUUUUAGGCCCUGGGGAAGAAUGGGCCUUUCAGAGUCCAUUAAAUUAAGAACUUCAGGGGAAUCCCUACACCCCCAAGGUCUCAGUUCCCCAUUCAUUCUCCCCAUUUUUCUAUUAUGUUUCUUCAGACAGCCAAGUGACAUUUCUUUGAUGAUUAAUGAUGCUGGGAUCUCUCAGGAGUCCCAUACUACCUCCUUGUAAGGACCCAAGAAGCAACAGAUCCCUGAAUUUCUGUUCAAAUGCACUGUUAUGUUCAGUGCCUGUUCCAGAGACCAGUUCUACACUUAGCUAAAAGAGCCCUGUCUAAGGCUCCUGUGAAGUCUCAGAGAGUCAGCUUCAUUGUGUGCCUCAAAGUUAACAUAUUCUCCAGCCUCAUGGAGAAAUCUGGGCAGAAGAGGCAGCCAUUUUGAGGCAAUUUCCCUACAUUCUGACCGUGAGUUCUGUAAGCUCAAGAGAGCAUCUUUGAGUGAUUCAGUUUGCCUUAAGUUAUCCUUGCUCGUACCUUCAUUAUGUCUACAUCUUGGGCAGCAGGAGAGGAAGAUAGGAAAAAGGCAAAGGUAGAGUAUAAGAAACAUAGAACGAUUUGAGGAACAAAACAUGGUAGAAAAGAAAGAAAAGAAAAAUGUUUCCAUGUGGUGUCAUCAAAAAAGACAUCGGGCAGUGGGACUAAAAUAUGUUGAGUGUCUGCUACAUACCAGCUGAUUUACUUACAAUGCACCUUGCUGUAUAGUGGAGAGGACUCUUCAUCCAGGAAAUAAGCUAUAUAAUAAGUCAAUUUAAAUCCAGCUAUAAGCCCUGAAUCCUGAUGGUUGGAGGGAAACCCAGCCUCUAUCAUUAUGGGAGUUCCUUCAAUCACCACUGUUGCUCCCCCCACACUCCACCAGGGUUUUGCCAAGGUCCUAGGCUUUUUCUCAGUGCUGGGUAGAAGUGGCCACAUUGGUCAAUAUAGGUUAGCUCUCAGUGCUUCUAUAAGCCCUUUAGGGCUUGGCUCUUGGGGUUUGGACCCUGAUGAGCCUGGGAACCCUUCUGUUCUGUGUUGAGAUCCCAUUAGUCUACGAAAUAUCUAUCCCUAUGAACUUUACUGUUGGUGCUGCCUGACCUUUACUUCUUUCUUAUUACAGAAACUUUCUUCUUCCUUCUCCACUCCUUUCCUCAAAAGCACACCUCUUUCUUCUUCUUUGGGUCUAUUGUCAUGAUCUCUUCAAAGUUCUGGGGCUUUUACAAAAGAUAGAAUCAUUGACUUAAGCAGCUUCUGUUUUCUAUCCUGUAGAAUUCUCUAAGGCAAGGAAUUAUUAAGGGUCUGAACACAUGUUUGGGAAAGGGGAGGAAGGAAAAAUAAAGCAGAAUACUAAUUAAUUUUUUUAUAUUUUAUUUCAUUUUAGAGGGAGAGAGAGAGAGUGAGAGCAUGAAAGUGGGGGAGAGGGG